GAGGUUGCAGAGUUUCGUGAGCGGGUCCGGUGACGUUGGAGGCGGGGCCUCGAGUACGCCCCGCCUACCAUCUUGACAAGCCGCAGGUCCACCCGGGAGGGCGGCCCUAGGACUCAGGCAAGCAUGGAUUCUGGCAGAGCAGAGGCUGAGCCAGAGGCCACACGUUGUUGCGGUUGCAACGUGAGAAGUUGUGAUCCUGAUCGUUGUUUAGUGUGAGAACGGUAACCCCAGAUAGAAAGCACAGGAAAGGAACGCCUGGCCAUCCGGCAGCCUUCUCCUGCCAAUCACUGCUAUCAAAGCACUCCCAAGAAGUGUUCACUGAGGGGAGAAGACCUUCUCUGAGCAGCACUCUUGACAGAGUGGGGAUGGGGUGCACCCUAGAUAUAAAGGGAUCUGAAAGGGAAAAAAAAUGGGCUGCCUGCCUGCCUUCUCCUCCUGCAGGAGAACACCUCUAUUCUGCUACAGAUGCUGCAGGCGUUCUUCCCUGCCAUGAACCCAGGUCUUCCAACAUGACUCCAGGACUCCAGCACCAGAUAGGGACUGCUAAAACAGCCAGCCUCACGGAGCGAGCAGUUACUAGAGUCUCGGCCUCUCCAGCGGCAGACACCAUUGAUGGACUCUCAAGCCCCGGUUGUGUAAGCUAAUCUAAGAAGUCCCAUCACAUAACAUCUAUUACUCUGCCAGUUGUUUACCUCUCGUGCAGUGGUUCUCAACCUGUGGGUUGAGACCCUUUAGGCAACCAUCUGUCUCCAAAAAUAUUUACAUCUCAGUUCACAACAGUGGCAAAAUCACAGUUAUGAAGUAGCAACAAAAAUAAUUUUAUGGUUGUGGGUCACCACAACAUGAGGAACUGUAUUAAAGGGUCGAAGCCCUAGGAAGGUUGAGAACCGCUGGUCUAGAGGGAGUCCUCUGCUCUUUUCUAAGACACUAGCCCCACCCAGCCAUCUCCCAGAAACCAUCUCCCAACGCUCCUACAUUAGGCUUCAGUGCGUGAAUUUGAGAGGACGCAAACAGAACUGUAGUUUUCCCCAGUGACUGUCAAAUCCAAGGCCAUCUCUCACAAAGGAAAGUGCUGUGUAACGAGGACUGGGAGUACCAGGCCAAUCUGGCCUUCGUGUCAGGAUCCUGUCUCAAAGGGACACCCCAGCCCAAAUAAAACAAAGAAGAGAACUGCUUCGGGCAAAUUCUGGCAACCAUGGAGCACGUGAGCUGCAACUGCCUACUCUCCCUUUGCUUUGAUUUUCAUGCCAAGAGAAAUAGUCUGAGAUAAAAGAAAAAAAAAAAAAACUUUCAGCAAUUUCACACGACCGUCAUCCAAUGUUGUCUUGAGAAAUGGAAAGAUCACCUCGGCCAUCCUUCUCCGUGCCAGCCAUAUGACAGUUCCAAUAGAGUCCUUCUUUUGCUAGAACUCUCAGCCUUUCCUUGGGAGUGGCCGUGAGUGUUUGAGAGGCUGGUAGGAAUUUCUGUGGACCCUGACUUGCACCUUCAUUCGAAUAGUGGUGGGACUGUCCUUCCUCUCUCUCUGAAGGAAGAGUGAGGCACCAGCACUGGCAGACAGGACCCUGGCUGCCUUGCUGGAGGAAGGGCCUGACUCAGAGAAACAGAGGAAAUCAUCUGUGGUGACUUUCUAAUGCUGGGAACCUUGGAAAGAGGAGCCCAAGUUAAAGCUCACCCUCAGACAGGAGGUCCCUGUUCUAUUCGUUGUAAGGAGACAGAUUGCUACUCAAGAUCUGGUUGCUAGCAGGUCAGUAAGAUGGCUCAGUGGGUAAAGGUGCUUGCUGCUAAGUCCAAAAGAAUCUGCUCAGUUGGGCCUUGGGAAGAGGGAUGCUGUUUUGGUGUGUCGUGACGGCAGGGUGGCUUCUGGGGCUCUGGUUGUGACAUUUUUGGUUUAAUAAUUGGCAAUAUGAGUUUGACAGGUUUUGUGACAUUUAAGCCAGGUAUAGGUUGUAUGUAAAUAAAUACAAAUAUUUUCUUUGAGAAAA